UUGUUUUGUAUAUUUGGGAGCCUGUAUGCCUCCUGUAUCUGAUUUUUCAUUUCAUUUCUUAGUUUUUGAAAUUUUCAGAUUUUAUUUCAUUGAAAAGAUUGUGUAUUCUUUUAGUUUGUAUCUCUGAACCUUCAUGUAUCCUGAUAUAUCUUAAAUUUUGUCUUUUCAGGUUAUCCCAUAUUUCUUGGAAGUUCUGUUCAUGGUCUCUUAAAAUAUUUUCUCCAUGGUCAACUUUAUUUUCAAGAUUAUAUAUUUUGUCUUCAUUACCUGAAGACAAUGGUCUGCUCUGUUGGUGAAGCUUUCCAAUGAAUUUUUAAUUAGGUUAUUAAUUCCUUCAUUUUGAGGAUUUCUGCUAUUCGUGAUUUUUUUCAGCUGCAAUUGAUGUCAGCAAUGUAUGUAAGUGCCACAAUAGUGUAGACUUCAGUGGUUCAUGAAAGUAGUUAUAUGACUAUGAAAUGGAUGUAGGCUUCUAAAAAUGCAUGUCCUCAGACCCCACAGAGUUGACUACCAGUGACACUGAGCCUUAUAACAGCAGCAUCUGUGGGCUUAGUGGUGCAGGGUAUAGACAAAACUGUCCCUAGGUCCCAUCGGGCAAGCAAGGUAACACCAAGGUUUUGACACUAAUAGUCACAGUCCUGGAGCCAAGAAUUCAAACAGAACCUUUCCAAAGUUCCUCAGAAUGAAUGCAGGAUACUUCAGGGUCUAUGGUAUCAGCAGCCACAGUUCUGGAAUUAUGGGAUGGGUUUAUAUCUUCUUCAGGUUUUGUCAGAUGAACACAGGGGUUGCCUGCAUCUGUGGUACCAACAACCAUGGACUUGAAGUUGGGAACUCAAAGAAGAACUUCCCUUGGUCCUGUGCUGCAGUCACAGUUGGCACUGGGGCUUGUGGUGCUUGAAAUUACAUUUCUGGAGCCCUGAGGAUCAAGGAUGGGACCAGGUCCUAAAGUAGUUUUUUUUUUUUUUUUGUAGAGAGAAAGAAUUUUUAAUAUUUAUUUUUUUAGUUUUCGGCGGACAUAUUUGUUUGUAUGUGGUGCUGAGGAUCGAACCCCGGCCGCAUGCAUGCCAGGUGAGCGCCCUACCACUUGAGCCACAUCCCCAGCCCCUAAAGUAGUUUGAAGGCCAUUAAUUGUGGAGGAAACCCUCUCUAGUUCCCACACUAUUAUGCAUGUGAUGUUGGAGCUUGAGUCACUGCUCUCCACAAUCUCAGAGGCAUAGGAAGUGGAAGAGACCUUCCUUAGAUCCCAUAAAGUGAAUGCAGGUGGUGUCAGGGCUUUUGGCUUUGUUAUUCUUGGUCUGGGUGUUGCAGGACAUUAACAGCACUGUCCCCAAGUCAUGUGGAACAAGUGCUAUUAUAUCUGGGGCUUGUGGUAGUGGUAGCCAUAAUUCUGGAGCUACAAUGCAUAGAUGGGACCUCCCUAAAUUUUGUGGCACAUAUGAUGCGAAGGUUUUGUACUAGCUGCCAUAGUCUCAAGUUAGUAGACUGGGGAGAAGAUUUUCCCAAGUUCUAUUGGAGUGAAUGUGAGUGUGGCUAGGGCUGUGGCUUUGGCAGCCAUAAAGCUAUGAGACGCUGAGGGAUCUGUCUUCUGCCUGGAAGGCACACAUCAGCCCAUGCGAUUGUCAGGGAACAAACCACUAGACUCUAAGACAGAAUGUUACCUAUUAGUGACUGUUAUAGCAGCUUGUGUUCUGUGAGUUUGGGAGGACUCAGUAUGAAUUCUUUCUUUGGAGCAGAACAGUUGAUGUGAGACCAGCCAGCUCCCCAAACUAGGUUCAAAGCUUGUGAGGAUUGUGAAAUUCUCUUGUAGUUAGGACUAUCAUUCUCCUGCUAUGAUGGUGGUUGCUGGUACUUUUCUGGCAAUGUGAAGAUAUUCCACCCCACCUCUCCAACCCCCCACCCCCGGCCAGGGAGCCCAGGUUGAAGUUGAAAUUUGCUUUUUCCUUUCCCUCGAUUUUCUUUCUGACUCUGUACUAUUUAGGUUCCCAUCACUUCCCUUCUGAUUUCUACAGUUCUCCCUUAGUCACUCUUAGAAAUUAUUUUUUCCAUUGUUGUCUUGGUUCCCUGUGACAGUGGUAAGCAGGGUACUCUAUUCACCUAUCCUGGAUCUUUCCAAGGUACCAUUUUCUUGGUUCUUAAAAAGUAGAAUAUCCAGAGAAAUAAAUAAAAUCCUUAUUAAAAAUUUUAAAAACCCAGUUUUUAAAACAUUGCUGUUUGUGUUUCAAAGUUUAAAGAAAAUAAAUAUCAUGCAUCACUGUCAUCUAGAAUAUAUAUCCAGAGCAUCAGGAAUUUUAAUCCUAGACUAUGAAUUUGAAUAAAGUUAUCAAGCUUUUACUGUCUUGUUGUUGCUGUUUUUUUUUAUUUUUGCAAAAACAACAUUCAUGUUACUAUUAUUCAUAUUACUAUAUUUUAUAUGUGAAAUAAUGAAUAUAAAAUUG
rnacentral:lncRNA from 1 species